AUUGAACGCUGGCGGCAGGCCUAACACAUGCAAGUCGAGCGGAGCGGCGGACGGGUGAGGAUGGCCUGGGACUCGGCCUGGUAGGGGGGGAUAACGUCCGGAACCGGGCGCUAUUACCACUAACUAUCGCAGGAGCCUAGGUCGGAUUAGCGAGUUGGUGGGGUAAAGGCCUACCAAGGCGACGAUCCGUAACUGGUCUGAGAGGAUGAGCAGUCACACUGGAACUGAGACACGGUCCAGACUCCUACGGGAGGCAGCAGUGGGGAAUAUUGGACAAUGGGCGAAAGCCUGAUCCAGCCAUGCCGCGUGUGUGAAGAAGGUCUUCGGAUUGUAAAGCACUUUAAGCUGGGAGGCGUUACCAACAGAAGAAGCACCGGCUAACUUCGUGCCAGCAGCCGCGGUAAUAC
rnacentral:rRNA from 1 species